rnacentral:rRNA from 1 species
AUUGAACGCUGGCGGCAGGCUUAACACAUGCAAGUCGAACGAGUAGCGGACGGGUGAGUAAUGUUUGGGAAACUGCCUGAUGGCGGGGGAUAAAUACUGGUAAAGGUAGCUAUUACCGCAUACCAUCAGAUGUGCCCAGAUGGGAUUAGCUAGUUGGUGGGGUAACGGCUCACCAAGGCGACGAUCCCUAGCUGGUCUGAGAGGUUGACCGGCCAGACUGGAACUGAGACACGGGCCAGACUCCUACGGGAGGCAGCAGUGGGGAAUAUGGGACAAUGGGCGCAAGCCUGAUGCAGCCAUGCCGCGUGUAUGACGGAGGCCUUCGGGUUGUAAAGUACUUUCAGCGGGGAGGCGUUACCCGCAGAAGAAGCACCGGCUAACUCCGUGCCAGCAGCCGCGGUAAUUC